GAUCGAGACGGAGCGACUCACAAUUGAGUGGAAAGACGCGGACCAUGGAUCGUUUCAUCUUAAUGCUUGUUUUGCUCGUCGCCGCCGCCCUGGCCAGCGAAUCUUCAACCAAGACUGUUGAAUCCACGACCACAUCAACUCCGUCCAAAUGCUCUCUUGCUCUUGGUUCGGCCGAGUUGACGACGCUGGCCAACGGCAAGAAGUACUUGUUUCCCGGCAUCAGAAAAAGCUGAUUCGAAGGGAACGAAACUUGCGCCAACAAAGGUCUGCUCAUGGCCUCGAUCAGCAACCAAAUGGACGCGGAUGUAGUUUCGGCCGAGGCUGACAGAACCAGACCUGGCAACGGUUUUUGGGUUUCGGCGAAAAAGUCGAAAAGCUGGAGCGAAAGGGACUUCCGUUGGCACGACGGCACCAAGCUGGAGUUGGACAGUCCCUUGUGGGGGGACGAAGCGAACAAGAUUAACUUCGACUGCGUCUUCAUCUACCGUGGCAAACUGAACACUCAUUUCUGCAUCAAUGGAUCACCGUUCUUCGUUUGCGAGCUUCCCAGAGAAUGCUACUGAUUGAUCCAUAGCAUAAGCGUUUAGAAUUUUGUUAAAAUACUCGCUUGCCUGAAGGUGUUUAUAAUAAACACGCUUGUUUAAGAGAA